CUGCCUAAACGUCACUAAAUAUUCAAAUGUACAGUAUCUUAACUUAUACAGGGAUGCUUUAAAAAGAACGAGUAAUAUUUCUGGUGUGAAAGCUGUCUCAUAACUAUGUGGGGUGCUUUAUUAAAUAGUUCUGGCCAAACUUUUUUUUUUGGUGUGGGUUUGCUAUGGGACAGUGACAAUGUAGACAGUCGAUUUUGUUUCAAUGGUAUUCGUUUUGCUUUCUUUUUUUUUUCCCCCUUGGGCAUAGAGCGUGUUCCAUUUCGCUGAAACAUCCACCCUUAAAAAAAGGUCCACCCUGCAGUAUAGUGACAUCUUGUCCAAGAGCCAAUGCCCCAGAUGCUGACCCAAAUCUCUUUCAGUACAGUUAAGAUGAUGAAAGCCACUUCCCACAUAACCUAUUACACAGCAGAAACACUGCAACAUUCAAAUUCAAUCCCAACUGGGUCAGAUGAUGCAGACAUAGCUUCCUCGGCUCUCGCCGCUUCAAACCCCCCUGCACCAAAAAGAAGCAAUCAAUGUGGUAAAACACUUGCAGGUAUGAUUUGGGUUGGGACCAAGUCCACACGAAGCAUCUUUAGGACUCAGGGGGGGUCUAUCGAACACAACACGGCCACCAUCAUAGCUUUGAGUGACAAUACCCUAAGAUUAAUUUAGACAGCGCCGUGCCCCUAUAAAAACCGGUCCAAACGAGUCUUGUUAAUUGUGGAGAUGAACAAGUUGCCCCAAAGGACCAAGCAAAAGACCUACUUAAGUUAGGAGUUAAUUAUGUUGACAGGUUUUGGAAUGUUCAAAUGACAUUCCGAAGCAUGUCAAGCAGAAUGAUAAGUCGGCGUUGUCAAUUUAUCAAAGGCACCUGAAACACAUUGUCGGGAAGGUCGAAAGCAAAACCUCAAGCCAAGUCCUGUCUAAAAACACCUUGCUAACAGUAACUUUAAAAAGUUUUGGUUAUUUCCCCAUUGUCAGUUAAAAAUGAGCAAGAAUGAAAACCUUUCACAG